CUGAGUCGUGUAUCUACACAAAAGCUUCCCUUGCAUCUCUCUGUUCCGCUACUGUUGUCAAGGUUUUUAUAUCCAUUACUACUGCAGUGAUUGAAUUUGACUGCAAAUAUUGACUGUUUGAGUUGUCAAUCUGUGAGAGGGUGCAGGUGGUCUGUCAGAGGGAUAUUUUAUUGCAAACAGAUUUGUCAUCAGACACAACCACCACCUGUUGGUUCAGCCACAUCCUCUGGUAUGUCCGUUGCACCUGCACAGCUAGGGAGGUGUGGCCAGAGCAACUUACGAGACUGAAGCAGCAUAAUGCCCGAAGAGCAUAAAACCACGUAGGCCUAACACUCUGGAACCUCAGGGCUAAUCUGCGGAGGCGUACAGUCACACCUGUUUAGUAAAAACAAGACGGUCAUUAAUGAACCUAAUGGGUCUUGUUUGGAACACAGAGCAGGUUGAGUUUGUUCCACCUGACUGUGAAAGCUCUCUCUACCACUCUUCAUCAUCAUCAUCAUCUCUCUCCCCAGAGCAACAGCCCUAUCCAUUUAUAUUACACCUGUCAGUGGACUGGACUGUUGUGUAUAGAGGUUUUGUGUUAGUUUGCCCGAGUGUAUGUUUUCUACAUAUAUAUGUAUUCCCGUGUGGCACAGCAGUGGUGGAAGAA
ensembl:lncRNA